UACAGAGGUCUCAAGCGUUGUUCGGAUUCAUUGGGCGUAAAGGGUGCGUAGGUGGCGAUGCAAGUCUGGUGUGAAAUCUCGGAGCUCAACUCCGAAAUUGCACCGGAUACUGCGUGACUCGAGGACUGUAGAGGAGAUCGGAAUUCACGGUGUAGCAGUGAAAUGCGUAGAUAUCGUGAGGAAGACCAGUUGCGAAGGCGGAUCUCUGGGCAGUUCCUGACACUGAGGCACGAAGGCCAGGGGAGCAAACGGG
rnacentral:rRNA from 1 species